GCGCACGAAUAAAAUGUGUAUUUGUUCAGGAAAUCAUUGGCAGGAGUUGCAAGGGUCGAAAGCGUUACAGGAGUGGCAAAUGGCAAGUGUUGUGGUGGGACAGAACCAGCUGCCAACAAGUCAACAAACAAAUUGUCCUCAUUUUUCAGGCUUGCAAUUUGCCAAGAACCAUUGGCAUCUCACCAUCCAUCCAUCCACCCCUGCCUUUGGGUUCUGUCUGCCUUUGGGUUCUCCGUCGCCUCCUACUCUGAGGUUUUGAGGUCCUCCUGGCCGCACGUUGACAGCUUCAUUGCCAGACGACAUUGUUAAUCAAAAUUGAGGUUAAAUCGUGCUUCCCAAGCGGUUUGGCCCCUUCCUCAGUAUUGCGUUUAUUAAGACAUUCCCUUGACUUUUGGGUAGAUUCAACCUCCUGCCACAAAGUCGGGUUCAUUGCAAUUAAACCAAAAGUUUUGUUUGUUGUCGUAGGUCCAGGACUGUGGGUGACCCCUUGAGAGCUGAAGCCGUUUGCCCUUUCCAUUUAAUCACAACAAUACGUAUGCAUAAUUUUAUUUAUUUGUACGUAGUUUCACCACAUUUUCAGCACAUUUUCAGCGCACUCUGUGUG
rnacentral:lncRNA from 1 species